rnacentral:lncRNA from 1 species
UAAUUUUAAAAAACGUUUAUUAAAAAGCUGUUCUUGCAUCGCAAUUCAAUUUCAAAGGAUCCCAUAAUUUCGAUUGGAUAAUAUUUGCCAAGCAAUCAAUAUCAUAACAACAGAUGCUAUCCAUAAUGGCGCAACUAAGAUAUUUUUUUGUGCAUGCCCUCAAUUAUCAGCCCAUCCCAUCUCUUCAAUUGAUUUUUGUGCAUGAUUCAGCCCCCCAAAAGAUCCUG